rnacentral:rRNA from 1 species
GUCGGGACCUAAGGCGAAUCCGAGAGGAGUAGUCGAUGGACAACUGGUUAAUAUUCCAGUACUACCGUAAUGAGCGAAGAAGUGAAGGAGUAGUGACAACUGCGCGCCCUGACGAACGUGGGCGUUGAAAGGCGUAGGUAUAGGACCUGUAGGCAAAUCCGCAGGUCUUGCUGAAACCCAAUAGUACGAGGAGGCUUCGGCCGAAUUGAUAGACAGUGUAAUCAGACUUCCGAGAAAACCUUCUAGCGUUAAUCAUUAUGGUACCCGUACCGCAAACCGACACAGGUAGUCAAGGAGAGAAUCCUGAGGUGCUCGAGUGAAUCAUGGCUAAGGAACUCGGCAAAUUAACCCUGUAACUUCGGGAAAAGGGGUGCCUCCAGCAAUGGAGGUCGCAGAGAAAUGGUCCAGGCGACUGUUUAACAAAAACACAUGGCUAUGCGAAAUCGAAAGAUUAAGUAUAUGGCCUGACACCUGCCCGGUGCUGGAAGGUUAAGGGGGGACGUUAGUCGCAAGACAAAGCGUUGAACUGAAGCCCCAGUAAACGGCGGCCGUAACUAUAACGGUCCUAAGGUAGCGAAAUUCCUUGUCGGGUAAGUUCCGACCUGCACGAAUGGUGUAACGAUCUGGACGCUGUCUCAGCCAUGAGCUCGGUGAAAUUGUAGUCACGGUGAAGAUGCCGUGUACCCGCAACGGGACGGAAAGACCCCAUGCACCUUUACUAUAGCUUCACAUUGACAUUGGGUAGAUGAUGUGUAGGAUAGGUGGGAGGCUUUGAUCCCGGGCCGCUAGGUUCGGGGGAGUCAACGGUGAAAUACCACCCUUUAUUUAUCUGAUGUCUAACCCCUGUAAAGGGGAACAGUGUGUGGUGGGUAGUUUGACUGGGUGGUCGCCUCCGAAAGUGUAUCGGAGGCUUUCAAAGGUAUGCUCAGUACGCUUGGUAACCGUACGUGGAGUGCAAUAGCAUAAGCAUGCUUGACUGUGAGACCGACGGGUCGAGCAGGGACGAAAGUUGGAUAUAGUGAUCCGGUGGUUCUGUAUGGAAGGGCCAUCGCUCAAAGGAUAAAAGGUACGCUGGGAUAACAGGCUGAUCUCCCCCAAGAGCUUACAUCGACCGGGAGGUUUGGCACCUCGAUGUCGGCUCGUCACAUCCUGGGGCUGGAGAAGGUCCCAAGGGUUGGGCUGUUCGCCCAUUAAAGUGGCACGCGAGCUGGGUUCAGAACGUCGUGAGACAGUUCGGUCCCUAUCUGUUGUGGGCGUAGGAAGUUUGAGAGGAUCUGACCUUAGUACGAGAGGACCGGGUUGGACUAACCGCUGGAGUACCAGUUGUAUCGUCAGAUGCACCGCUGGGUAGCUAUGUUGGGACGGGAUAAGCGCUGAAAGCAUCUAAGCGCGAAACCCACCUCAAGAUGAGACUUCCAUUAAGGGACGUCAGAGAUUAUGACGUUGAUAGGCUGCAGGUGUAAAGUCAGUAAUGACAAAGCCGAGCAGUACUAAUAACCUA